rnacentral:rRNA from 1 species
UACGAAGGGGGCUAGCGUUGCUCGGAAUCACUGGGCGUAAAGGGUGCGUAGGCGGGUCUUUAAGUCAGGGGUGAAAUCCUGGAGCUCAACUCCAGAACUGCCUUCGAUACUGGAGAGCUCGAGUCCGGGAGAGGUGAGUGGAACUGCGAGUGUAGAGGUGAAAUUUGUAGAUAUUCGCAAGAACACCAGUGGCGAAGGCGGCUCACUGGCCCGGUACUGACGCUGAGGUGCGAAAGCGUGGGGAGCAAACAGG